rnacentral:sRNA from 7 species
UAUAUUCUCCGCCGGGGGGGGAUGAAAACCCCCGACCGGGGUUCGACAACUGGCGCAGCCAGUUGGACAGACCGCGAGCCCGCGAGCGGGCUGCCCCGCAGGGGCGAGCGAAGCGAGUCAAUCCCCCCUCACCGCCA